rnacentral:rRNA from 1 species
UGAGCCCACAGGCAGAGAUGCGAGGGGGCAAAGGGUGCUACUCGAUAGUGGCAUGUCUUCAGGGAGGGGCCCACGGCCUAGCAGCUAGUUGGUGUGGUAACGGCGCACCAAGGCGAAGACGGGUAGCUGGUCUGAGAGGAUGGCCAGCCACACGGGGACUGAGACACGGCCCCGACUCCUACGGGAGGCAGCAGUGGGGAAUAUUGGGCAAUGGGCGCAAGCCUGACCCAGCGACGCCGCGUGGGUGAUGAAGGCCUUCGGGUCGUAAAGCCCUGUCGGGUGGAAAGAACGGGAGGGGUGCAAAUAGCGCUUCUCCGUGACGGUACCACCGAAGGAAGCACCGGCCAAUUUCCGUGCCAGCAGCCGCGGUAAGACGGAAGGUGCAAGCGUUGCUUCGGAAAUCACUGGGCGUAAAAGGGU